CCGUUGGUGAACCAGCGGAGGGAUCAUUAAAGAGUUAUUUAACUCCCAAAACCACUGUGAACUUAC
rnacentral:rRNA from 1 species